rnacentral:rRNA from 1 species
UACGAAGGGGGCUAGCGUUGCUCGGAAUCACUGGGCGUAAAGGGUGCGUAGGCGGCCUGUUAAGUCAGGGGUGAAAGACGGUAGCUUAACUAUCGCAGUGCCCUUGAUACUGAUGGGCUUGAGUGUAGUUGAGGCAGGCGGAAUGUGACAAGUAGCGGUGAAAUGCAUAGAUAUGUCACAGAACACCAAUUGCGAAGGCAGCUUGCUAAACUAUGAUUGACGCUGAGGCACGAAAGCGUGGGGAUCAAACAGG